rnacentral:lncRNA from 10 species
CUUCACCAUGGGCUGUCAUCGCUGAGGCCAUAAAAAGCCAAAAGCACUACCCUUGAGUCAUCCUAGCCCCUUGGAGCCAAAAACGUAGCAACGUCACGUCUGUAGUUGACCUCGGUUCCGGGCACCUUCCUGAGCAUUCUUCGGGAGGCACUUGUGAAACUCAGCCCAGGUGCUGCCCAGGAUCAGGAGGCUGAGACGUGAUCUGGAAGUGAGUGCCCAUCCAUACACCUUCCCCAGCUUUGGGGCCACAGAGGGACAGAAACCGCAGGCAGGCUGGCCUGGGAAUGAACCUACACCAGCCUGAAGUCAGAAGAGCCUCUAGGAGCCUCCAGCCUGGACUCUUUUUACAGAUGGGGAAACUGAGUCCCAGAGAGGGAGCAAUGAAGGAUGUCUAAGGUCAUCAGCAACGUAAAGCCAACAGCAUCAUCCUGAGUCAUGUUUGAACCUGAGGGGAGGCUGGGGCAGAUGGAAAAUACCAACUUGAUGGUCUGUGGCCACACCAUGCUGCUCCCCAAGGCCCCUCAGAAUUUCACUGCCCAAUAUGGUAGCGCCCAGCCUGAAACGUGGCCAGUGUGAAUUGAGAUGGGCUGGAAAUGCACCAGACUUCCAAGAGCUGGACAAAAACCAUAUACUUUCCAUCCAGCUGUUUGGCAUUGGAUACUGCUGCCUCUGCUUGACUUGAGAAUGUGUGAGAAAAGCUGUGUUUAGACAACUGAAAACCAUGAGCUUGAAAGUAGUGGGGGCACACUCUUGGAGACUCCAGUUGCUCACCAGCUUGGACAAACCACUGGACUCAAAUGAUCAGGUAGAAAUUCAUCACUGGAGAGAACACAGUGGAAUGGCUUCAGCGAAAACUCACUCUGAAGGUCUUCAGGGCAACUUUAAGACUUGCCCCUGGCCGGGCACAGUGGCUUAUGCCUAUAAUCCCAGCACUUUGGGAGGCCGAGGCGGGUGGAUCACCUGAGGUCAGGAGUUCAAGACCAGCCUGGCCAAUAUGGCGAAACCCUGUCUCUACUAAAAAUCCAAAAAAUUAGCCGGGCGUGGUCGUGGGCGCCUGUAAUCCCAGCAACUCGAGAGGCUGAGGCAGGAGAAUUGCCUGAACCCGGGAGGCAGAGUUUGAAGACAGCCGAGAUUGCACCACUGGGCAACAAGAGCAAAACUCCAUCUCAAAAAAAAAAAAAAAAAAAAAAAUACUUGCCCCGGCUUUUUGUGUGAUGGACUUUCUAUUUACAGACGUGAUAUUUAUCUAUGACUUUACUCAGAGUCUGGCUCAUAGACCAGAAGGACUGGUAUCUCCUGGAGCUUGCAGGAAAUGCAAAAUCUCAAACCCCUGUAUUAGUCAGGGUUCUCCAGAGAAGUAGAGCCAAUGGGAUAGAGACAGGGAUAGGGAUGAUAGAGAUGGAGAUAGAGGUAGAGAUCCAUUGAUUCCUCUGUUAAUAAAUUGGCUCAUGCAGUUGUGACAAUUUCGAAAUCUGCAAGGUAUGUCAGCAAGCUGGAGACCCAGGGAACAGUUGAUGUUGCACCUUGAGUACAAAGGCAGUGUGUCUGGAGCCAUAAUAUCUUCUUGUUAGGAAGACUUUGGUCUUUUCUCUUCUGGCCUUCAACUGCUUGGGUGAGGCCCGUCCCCACUACAGAAGACAAUAGUCUGUUCUACUCAGAGUCUACUGAUUUAAAUGCUCAUCUCAUCCCAAAAAAUACCCUCACAGCAACAUUUAGCCUGUGCAUUUGACCAAACAACUGGGUACCAUGCCCCCCCUCCCAAGUUGACACACAAAAUUGACCAUCAUACCCUCCCCACCCCCAGUCUUACUGAAUGAGAGAGAAUCUGUGCUUCAACAAGAUCCCCAGAAGAGGUAUAAGCGCAGGGAAGUCUGAGAAGCACCACCUUUGAGGCUUAUCCAGGAUGCCCACAUGAGCCUUCUCUGGAUAUGUCAGAUCCCCUUCCUGGCCCCCUAGACACCUCCUCCACUCCCCAAACUUGGAAGCAACAUUGUGGGGAAGCAGGCAGUGAGGCGCUCAGUCUACCACGUUGUGAGAUACACAGCUCCAUCUGUGUAUCAUGAUUUGAUCCAAGGGAAAACAAAAGAUCCAGAAACAUAAGUACUUUUUUGUGAGCUCUCAAAAACUUCCUGUGACAAGAUCAGGUCGUUGAUGCGAGAGCCACACUUGUUUCUUUUUCCUCUUUAUUCUCCACCUCUGACAUAAUACUUAGCAUAAAAAAAAAUCCAAUAAACACCACUGAAUCAAUUAUCUAAGCCUCAGUUUCCCUCUUGUAAUAUGUACUUACCUGGUUGUGGUAGGAAAGACACCAGGCAUGAGAAACACUUAAAAGCCCAGGACCCUGAGCUGGGCACAUGGUAGGUACUCAGGAAGUCAUUGCCGAGUGUUCAGUGCAUGCUUGUUGAAUGAGUAAAUGAGGUCAGGCUUCAGCAUGCAAACACUCGCUAUAAAGCAGGAACCCUGUGCCCUGAGUGCACAAAAUAGAUAUCGAGAAGGAACACAGGCUCAGACAUCAGUGCCAUAUCUGAAGACAUUCAGCUAAUAACAGGAUGGAGUCCAAUCUGCUGGUGUGUGCACACCUGUGCCUGGGUGUCUUUGCUGGUGUGUGCACAUGUGUCUACAUGUGUGGUCGUGAGAGUACACACAGGGGCUGGAGGGUGGGGAAGGGCUUAAUCUAAUCCUGAAAGUGCCAGCAGAACUCUUGGGUGUCCCUCAAAGUCAAGCUUCUUUCCAGGUCAUCGAAGUUUUCACUUGGGUAAUAAUGCACGCAUAAUUAACUGAACAAAUAUAAUGAAUCUAUCUGUAGUGACAUGAUAGUUGGUGCUGAAUCCUAUUAGAGCACAUUUAAUUAAAAAUGCAUUAAACCUUCAAGCUUCUAAACACACCCUGCGCUUCUUCAAAGCCGCCCCUCCGUUAAAGUCUUCCCCACUAUUAACUAUGAGUCAGCCUGUGACCCUUUGGGCAUGACGGGGUGAGGUGAAGUGGCUCUUAAAUGCCUGUGCCAGUAUAUCACAGGCACUAAUGGAUUUAAAUCAGGGAGAUUAAUUCCAUUCAUUCGGCUCCUCAUUUCAGAAACAACUGUCACGCUGAGCCUAAUUGCUGAAGAUGGUUGAAGGCACCAGGAGGCUGGAGUUUCCUGGAGGUGGUUUGUGGCCAACCGUCAAUUACUUGGGCUGCUGUGCAGUGGGGAUAGAAGGAUGAUUAGAAUCCACAGACAACCCAUUGGCCUUUGUUUACCAUUAACUUCUGUUUUCUCCACCAGCCAAGCUCCUCCAGACCCAGGAGAUGGCUCUUCCCUCUGUGUAGCACACUCUUUCCAGUCAAGGGGUCUUGCACUGCUAUUUCCCCUUCUGCUUUGCUUGGUUCAUUCUUACUGACCCUCCAAAUACUGAAGGAAUGAAUGGAGAAAUAAGUAAAUGAGAGAUGUGGCCAAGAGUCUCCAAGAGAGGAAAUUAAAAAAUCCUAUACCUGUGAGGAACUGGCCCACUUGCAAAAGGCGGACUCAUUUGUCACUGUGUUUGCUGGCUGCUCGCACCACACAGUUUCCAGCCUAGGCAUUAUUUCCAACCUCUUUUUCCAAAGGGUCUUUCUAAGGUACAGAAAAUGGACAUAAAAUCGCCCAACGUAGUUGAGAGGUAAGGAGUAAAAGCCGGAAUUUGAACUCCUAAUCUCCUGCCACGAUUUCAUGCUGCCUCUGGGUAAUCUCCCAGCACGUUGCUUAAUCAGCUGCUGAGUCAUUGAGAGCCGGCAGAACCAGCUUCCUGCUGAGGCAGAGUGGGAGGAGGCCCGUCUGGGAGCAGCACACUGAAGGAAGGGAGGAGGAGGUGAUGUUUGGCACAAUCGGAUUGGUUCCCAUGAGGUCCAGGGCUGCGGCUCCUACAGAAGGCACUUUUUGCAUAUGGUAGGCUUCACGGGGUGCAACCUCUGUGUUGUUAGGAGAACCUCGUGCUUGCUAUGAUGCUCUGCUGUCAUUAUCUUGAAAUUCUUAGUCACAUUAAAACACGGGAGCCUACAUGUUUAUUUUGCACUGGAUCCUGCAAAUUAGCCAGUCCUGGUACUGAGGGCAGGUCCCUGGGUGAGUCUCACACAGCCUCCAUCCUUUGGUAAAGCAGCUUUCCUGAUUUAGCAAAUGCCUUACCAGAAAGCCUUUUCCUUGAAGAUGCUUUAACUUUUGUCUUCCCUGGCAAAGCUGUUUCCUUAUGGUAAAGCACCCAGCUCAUAGCUGAUAUUCAAUCCAUGAAGUAGCUCUGUCAGCAGCUGUCAUCAUGAAGACUUUGCAGCCUGCGGGUGGUAGCAUUCUGAAUCGUCAGUCUGUCUCGCUCCUGUAGCAAAUGCACGAUCCGGGAAAGCAUGUCCCAAGCUUUGUUCUGGAGAAGAUUUCUCCAGCUAUCAGAUGGUGUCUGUCAUCACAAUAGCUUAGGAGAUGCUGCUCACUCCAUCCUCCUCACUAAGUGUCACAGUACACUUGGGUAUGUACAAGUCUCUGAGAAGUCCAGCAGCAAAGACACCUUUGUGUUUUGCUGAUUCUAGCCUUUCCUAGACUAGAAGUCUUUUUUUCUAGUCUAGGAAAAGACUGUGGAAUCUUUUCUUUUUUUUCCUGAUACACACAUUCACAUUCCGUGGAACAUUUAGGACGUGGUUAUCUGGUCCUAAAGUAGUAAAGGUGAAGAUGUUGUGGGAGGUGCAAGAAAGAGCAGCAAGGAGUAGAUGGGGCACACUGCAAAGUGCGAUCCCCACAUACCUAAGUUAGUAUCAAUUACUACUAACAAAACUCGGCCAAGACUCUUUUGCAUUCGUUUUGUUUCUCUCUUUUACCCUGAUUAUAUUAAGAAAUAUGACAGGCCUGUGACUCACUGAUUAGACCAUCUUAGUCACUUUGGGUUGUCCCAGCAACAGGAGACUUAACUCUGACCAUAGGUAAGGAGCCCAGAGGACAGGAGAGCAGGGAUUUCUGAGGAUUUAACAAAUGCUUAUAAACAAAUGAUAUCACUUUGAACAAAGUAAUCAAAGUAUCAAAUGCUAUAAACACCACAGUAGGGCAAUGUGUGAAUCAUACUUGUGGUGAGACAUACAUAGAUCAGCUGCAAAGAGGAACUCAAUUCUGCAGAACCUCAGCUGGAGUAACUGAUGUGAAACAUGGACAGGGAAAUGGAAGGAAGUCAGCGGACACGGAAACUCUAGGAACUGAACUUUGACAAGGAACGCCGUCCAUAAUCCCAAGUCCUAUGACUUCAUAGAGGAAAAAAACCCUAGUGGAGCAGAACAGGGCCUCAUAGAGGGGCUGGGGCCUCACUGAGGGCUGGGAAGUUUGAUAGGACUUCCCUUGCUGGUAAGGAACAAAACUGGGUCUCAGGUUCAGGUUUGUAAAGCUAAUUUCAUACAUUUGCAGCAGAUGCUGUCAGUGUCCCUCCCCAAGCCCCUCAGCACUCAGCAUUCAUAGACAUCCUCAUCUUGCAAGCACCUGAGUCUCUCUCUGUAAGGUUUCUGUUGGCCUCAGGGCAGACCAGGGUACCAGGGAGGGCAGACCAGGGUACCAGGGAGCACAGCCCUCAAAGAAAGAUGACAGGAGUUGGUGUAAAUCUCAUGGCUUUCAUGUUACUUAGGGGGACCAAUGCUGAGGCAUGCUUAGCAUGAUCCUCUGUGAGACUGGGCCUCAGGUGUCCGCUGCAGCCGCCUGUUCAUUAGUGUGACAUGCACGGGAUUCCUUCCGUAUCCUGGCCCCUUUCUCUACUUCCCAACCGUGCUUCCUGAGACAUACUCAAAUCCUUGUCUCACACUUGGCUUCUGGGAGAAUCCAACUGCAAAUGCUGUGUUUUAUUUUUUAUUUAUGUAUUUAAUUAUUUGGAGAUAGGGUCUCCCUCUGUCACCCAGGCUGGAGUAAAAUGGCACAAUCCUAGCUCACUGCAAUAUUAAACUCCUGGGCUCCAGUAAUCCUCAGCCUCCAGGAGCUGGAACUACAGUCGUGCACAGCAAUGCCAGCUAAAGUUUCCUUUAAAUUUUUUGUAGAGUCAAGAUCUCACUAUUUCAGUCAGGUCUUGAACUCCUUGCCUCCCAAAGUUCUGGGAUUACAGCACUUGGCCUCCCAAAGUGCUGGGAUUACAGGCGUGAGCCACUGCAUCUGGCUGUUUAUUCCAUUAAAAUGAUUGAAGGAGUCUCUUGCUUUGGGAAUUUUGCUCCCGUGGUGAGAACACUAUGGGAAUGACAUCUCAAGAAUAUGGCUCCUUCAAAUGAAUUUAAAAUGGUCUUUCUAUUUUUGUCCAGUGGUUACAAUAGCUGAUGGGCUCGAGGUAAGGAGAUGCUAAGCUGCCAUUCUCUCCUUCAACCCAUGGCAUUUACUGAGCUUCUAAAUCAGUCAGGCCCUGGGCUGGACCCUGGGCAUGCAGACUGAAUCAGAGCCUUCAGGACUAGCAGGAGAGACAGGUAUAUAUAGUGGCAAGGGCAAUAUUUAUUCACUCAUUCAUUCUUUUUCCUUUUUUAUGUGCCAAAUCUUUAAUGAGGGCCUACCUUGUACUCAGGAACACCAGGAAUAAACAGAAAACAAAAAGAUAUCAUUUCUGGACUCAGUUCACCAUCUAGAGAAAAAAAAAAAAAAAAAAAAAGACCUGAAAUGGACAAAUACAGUACUGUUUGACAAAUGUCACGUAAGAAGAAGCCCAUGAUACUGAGGAUGGUAUAGGAGGGGCCGUAUCCAGGUUGAAGGAGUCAAAUAUGACAGCUGCCGUGAGAAUUACAAUCAGAAAACCAUGACCCGGAUGCUUAUCCUAUUCAUUGCUUGAGCCUGAGAACACAAACACACAGGGUGUGGCUGAAAUUCCUCUGAAAUUGUAUUGAUUUGAGAAAACUGCAAUCUUGUGUUAAAAUGUGAAUCAUACACAAGGAUGCAAAACAGUUACCGCUGACCAUAAAUCUAGGCUAUCAGAAUGGAAUCUGAUGGCUUGUCUACCAGACUGCAUUGUGAAACCAAUCAAAUGGGAGAUAGACUCACCACUUACCAAGUACCUCUGAGACACCAGGCACCCUGUGGGGUGCCCUACUCAUCAUCUUGUUUAACCAGUUGAUUGGGAAUAGCUCCAUUUUACAGAGAAAGACUGUUAGGCAGCUUUCUAAGAUGGCCCUAAUUAUUCCUUCCUUCUGGUAAUCCCCUUCCUUUAAAUGUGGGCUACACUUAAUUACCUGCUUUUAACAAACAGAAUAUAGCAAAAGUGAUGGGAUGUCAGGAGACUGAAUCAGUAACCAAAAACCUCCAGACAAAGAAAAGCCCAGGGCCAGAGGGCUUCACUGGUAAAUUUACCAAACAUUUAAAGAAGAAUUAGCACCAGUCUUUCUCAAACUCCUCAACAAAUUGAAGAGGAGAGAACACUUCUAAAUACACUUUAUGAGGCCAGCAUUACCCUAACAUCAGAGCCAGACAAAGACACAAGAAAAGAAAACUACAGACUAAUAUUUCUAAUGAAUCUUGAUGCACAAAUCCUCAAAAAAGAAGAAAACAUACUAGCAAACAUAAUUCAGCCGCACAUUAAAAGGAUUAAGCACCAUGACAAAGUGGGAUUUAUUCUUAGUAUAAAAGGAUAUUUCAACGUAAAAAAGUCAAUGUAAUAUAUCACAUUAAUAGAAUGAUGAGAAAAAAUCCACAAGAUUAUCCCAAUUGAUGCAUUUAACAAAACUUAAUACUCUUUCAUGAAAAAACACUCAACAAACCAGGAAUACAUGAAACUACCCCAACAUAAGACAGUCCACAAAUGAAAAGCUCACAACCAACAUAAUACUCAUGGUGAAAAGCUGAAAGCUUCCUCUAAGAUCAGGAAUGAGACAAAAAUGUCCACUUUUGAAUCAACCUGUAUUCAACAUAGUAUAAGAAGUCCUCGCCAGAAUUUUCAGGAAAAAAAAAAAAGAAAGAAAAAAAAGCCAGUCAAAUUGAAAAGAAAGAAGAAAAAUUAUCUUUGCUCACAAAUGACAUGAACUUAUAAAACUCCUAGAAUUAAUAAAUGGAUGCUGCAAUGUUGAAGGAUACAAAAAUCAACACACAAAAAUCAGUUAUGUUUUUAUAUACUAACAAUGAAUGAGCCAAAAAUGAAAUUAAAACAAUUCCAUUUACAAUAGCAUCAGAAAGACUAAAAUACCUAACAAUAAACUUAACCAAGGAGGUAAAAUGCUUGAGUAUUUAGACACUAAAAAUUAUAAGGCCUGCACGGUGGUUCAUACCUGUAAUCCCAGCAUUUUGGGAGGCAGGUGGAUCACUUGAGGUUAGGAGUUUGAGACCAGCCUGGCC